rnacentral:rRNA from 1 species
GACGAACGCUGGCGGCAUGCCUAACACAUGCAAGUCGAACGGGACGAAUGUUUUUGAAGCCUUUCGGGGUGGAAGAGAUAUGAGUUUAGUGGCGGACGGGUGAGUAACGCGUGAGCAACCGAACUUUCAGAGGGGGACAACAUUGAGAAAUCAAUGCUAAUACCGCAUAGUACUUGAUAUACGCAUGUAUAUUGAGUUAAAGGAAGAAUCCGCUGGGAGAAGGGCUCGCGUUCCAUUAGCUUGUUGGUGAGGUAAAGGCUCACCAAGGCGACGAUGGGUAGCCGGACUGAGAGGUUGAACGGCCACACUGGGACUGAGACACGGCCCAGACUCCUACGGGAGGCAGCAGUGGGGAAUAUUGGGCAAUGGGCGAAAGCCUGACCCAGCAAUGCCGCGUGAAUGAAGAAGGUUUUCGGAUUGUAAAGUUCUGUCCUAUGGGAAGAAAGAAAUGACGGUACCAUAGAAGAAAGCCCCGGCUAACUACGUGCCAGCAGCCGCGGUAAUACGUAGGGGGCAAGCGUUGUCCGGAAUUACUGGGCGUAAAGGGAGCGUAGGCGGCAUAGUAAGUUUCAUGUGAAAUACCCGGGCUCAACUCGGGGGUUGCAUGGGAAACUGCUAAGCUGGAGUACAGGAGAGGCAAGUGGAAUUCCUAGUGUAGCGGUGAAAUGCAUAGAUAUUAGGAGGAACACC